rnacentral:rRNA from 1 species
GGAGGGUGCAAGCGUUGUUCGGAUUUACUGGGCGUAAAGGGCGUGUAGGCGGAUAUGCAAGCUGGAGGUGAAAGCCCCGGGCUCAACCCGGGAAUUGCUUUGUAGAACUGCAUGUCUAGAGAAAGUCAGAGGCAGGUGGAAUUCCAGGUGUAGAGGUGAAAUUCGUAGAGAUCUGGAGGAACACCGGCGGCGAAGGCGGCCUGCUGGGGCUUUUCUGACGCUGAGGCGCGAAAGCGUGGGGAGCAAACAGGGAUUAGAUACCCUGGUAGUCCACGCUGUAAACGAUGAGCACUCGAUGUGCGAGGUACGACCCCUCGCGUGUCACAGCUAACGCAUUAAGUGCUCCCGCCUGGGGACUACGGUCGCAAGACUA